rnacentral:rRNA from 1 species
UACGAAGGGGGCUAGCGUUGCUCGGAAUCACUGGGCGUAAAGCGCACGUAGGCGGAUCGUUAAGUCAGAGGUGAAAUCCUGGAGCUCAGCUCCAGAACUGCCUUUGAUACUGGCGAUCUUGAGUUCGAGAGAGGUGAGUGGAACUGCGAGUGUAGAGGUGAAAUUCGUAGAUAUUUGCAAGAACACCAGUGGCGAAGGCGGCUCACUGGCUCGAUACUGACGCUGAGGUGCGAAAGCGUGGGGAGCAAACAGG